AUUGAACGCUGGCGGCAGGCCUAACACAUGCAAGUCGAGCGGAUGAAGGGAGCUUGCUCCUGGAUUCAGCGGCGGACGGGUGAGUAAUGCCUAGGAAUCUGCCUGGUAGUGGGGGAUAACGUCCGGAAACGGGCGCUAAUACCGCAUACGUCCUGAGGGAGAAAGUGGGGGAUCUUCGGACCUCACGCUAUCAGAUGAGCCUAGGUCGGAUUAGCUAGUUGGUGGGGUAAAGGCCUACCAAGGCGACGAUCCGUAACUGGUCUGAGAGGAUGAUCAGUCAGACUGGAACUGAGACACGGUCCAGAGUCCUACGGGAGGCAGCAGUGGGGAAUAUUGGACAAUGGGCGAAAGCCUGAUCCAGCCAUGCCGCGUGUGUGAAGAAGGUCUUCGGAUUGUAAAGCACUUUAAGUUGGGAGGAAGGGCAGUAAGUUAAUACCUUGCUGUUUUGACGUUACCAACAGAAUAAGCACCGGCUAACUUCGUG
rnacentral:rRNA from 1 species